AGAGUUUGAUCCUGGCUCAGAACGAACGCUGGCGGCAGGCCUAACACAUGCAAGUCGAGCGCCCCGCAAGGGGAGCGGCGGACGGGUGAGUAACGCGUGGGAACGUACCCCUUUCUACGGAAUAGCCUCGGGAAACUGGGAGUAAUACCGUAUAAGCCCUACGGGGGAAAGAUUUAUCGGGAAGGGAUCGGCCCGCGUUGGAUUAGGUAGUUGGUGGGGUAAUGGCCUACCAAGCCGACGAUCCAUAGCUGGUUUGAGAGGAUGAUCAGCCACACUGGGACUGAGACACGGCCCAGACUCCUACGGGAGGCAGCAGUGGGGAAUCUUAGACAAUGGGCGCAAGCCUGAUCUAGCCAUGCCGCGUGAGCGAUGAAGGCCUUAGGGUUGUAAAGCUCUUUCAGUGGGGAAGAUAAUGACUGUACCCACAGAAGAAGCCCCGGCUAACUCCGUGCCAGCAGCCGCGGUAAUACGGAGGGGGCUAGCGUUGUUCGGAAUUACUGGGCGUAAAGCGCACGUAGGCGGACCGGAAAGUCAGAGGUGAAA
rnacentral:rRNA from 1 species